UUAAGUGACUAAGCGUACACGGUGGAUGCCUUGGCAGUCAGAGGCGAUGAAAGACGUAGUAACUUGCGAUAAGCCCAGAUUAGGUAGUAACAACCAUUUGAGUCUGGGAUUUCUGAAUGGGGAAACCCACUUACAUAAGUAAGUAUCCUUACCUGAAUACAUAGGGUAAGGAGGCGAACCGGGGGAACUGAAACAUCUAAGUACCCCGAGGAAAAGAAAUCAACCGAGAUUCCGAAAGUAGCGGCGAGCGAAAUUGGACUAGCCCUUAAGCUUUACACGCGUUAGACGAACGGUCUGGAAAGUCCGACGAUACAGGGUGAUAGUCCCGUAGUUGACGACGUGUGUUCAGUGAAAUCGAGUAGGGCGGGACACGUGAUAUCCUGUCUGAAUAUGGGGGGACCAUCCUCCAAGGCUAAAUACUACUGACUGACCGAUAGUGAACCAGUACCGUGAGGGAAAGGCGAAAAGAACCCCUGUGAGGGGAGUGAAAUAGAACCUGAAACCGUGUACGUACAAGCAGUAGGAGCAGGCUUUGUCCUGUGACUGCGUACCUUUUGUAUAAUGGGUCAGCGACUUAUAUUCAGUGGCAAGGUUAACCAUCUAGGGGAGCCGUAGGGAAACCGAGUCUUAACUGGGCGUUCAGUCUCUGGAUAUAGACCCGAAACCAGGUGAUCUAGCCAUGGGCAGGUUGAAGGUUGAGUAACAUCAACUGGAGGACCGAACCGACUAAUGUUGAAAAAUUAGCGGAUGACUUGUGGCUAGGGGUGAAAGGCCAAUCAAACCUGGAGAUAGCUGGUUCUCCCCGAAAGCUAUUUAGGUAGCGCCUCGGACGAAUACUACUGGGGGUAGAGCACUGUUAAGGCUAGGGGGUCAUCCCGACUUACCAACCCUUUGCAAACUCCGAAUACCAGUAAGUACUAUCCGGGAGACACACGGCGGGUGCUAACGUCCGUCGUGGAGAGGGAAACAACCCAGACCGCCAGCUAAGGUCCCAAAUUACUACUAAGUGGGAAACGAUGUGGGAAGGCUCAGACAGCCAGGAUGUUGGCUUAGAAGCAGCCAUCAUUUAAAGAAAGCGUAAUAGCUCACUGGUCGAGUCGGCCUGCGCGGAAGAUGUAACGGGGCUAAGUAGUAAACCGAAGCUGCGGCAAUACUCUUUGAGUAUUGGGUAGGGGAGCGUUCUGUAAGCGGUUGAAGGUGUGUGGUAACGCAUGCUGGACGUAUCAGAAGUGCGAAUGCUGACAUGAGUAACGAUAAAGGGGGUGAAAAACCUCCUCGCCGGAAGACCAAGGGUUCCUGUCCAACGUUAAUCGGGGCAGGGUAAGUCGACCCCUAAGGCGAGGCCGAAAGGCGUAGUCGAUGGGAAACGGGUUAAUAUUCCCGUACUUCUUACAAUUGCGAUGGGGGGACGGAGAAGGCUAGGUGGGCCUGGCGACGGUUGUCCAGGUUCAAGUGCGUAGGCUUAAGAGUUAGGUAAAUCCGGCUCUUUUUAAGGCUGAGACACGACGUCGAGCACCUACGGGUGUGAAGUCAUUGAUGCCAUGCUUCCAGGAAAAGCCUCUAAGCUUCAGAUUGUAAGGAAUCGUACCCCAAACCGACACAGGUGGUCGGGUAGAGAAUACCAAGGCGCUUGAGAGAACUCGGGUGAAGGAACUAGGCAAAAUGGUACCGUAACUUCGGGAGAAGGUACGCUCUUGAUGGUGAAGUCCCUUGCGGAUGGAGCUGACGAGAGUCGCAGAUACCAGGUGGCUGCAACUGUUUAUUAAAAACACAGCACUGUGCAAAAUCGUAAGAUGACGUAUACGGUGUGACGCCUGCCCGGUGCCGGAAGGUUAAUUGAUGGGGUUAGACUUCGGUCGAAGCUCUUGAUCGAAGCCCCGGUAAACGGCGGCCGUAACUAUAACGGUCCUAAGGUAGCGAAAUUCCUUGUCGGGUAAGUUCCGACCUGCACGAAUGGCGUAAUGAUGGCCACGCUGUCUCCACCCGAGACUCAGUGAAAUUGAAAUCGCUGUGAAGAUGCAGUGUACCCGCGGCUAGACGGAAAGACCCCGUGAACCUUUACUACAGCUUGGCACUGAACAUUGACCCUACAUGUGUAGGAUAGGUGGGAGGCUUUGAAGCACGUACGCCAGUAUGUGUGGAGCCGUCCUUGAAAUACCACCCUUGUAGUGUUGAUGUUCUAACGUCGACCCCUUAUCGGGGUUGCGGACAGUGCCUGGUGGGUAGUUUGACUGGGGCGGUCUCCUCCCAAAGAGUAACGGAGGAGCACGAAGGUGGGCUAAUCACGGUUGGACAUCGUGAGGUUAGUGCAAUGGCAUAAGCCCGGAUACCCUGGUAGUCCACGCCGUAAACGAUGUCUACUUGGAGGUUGUGCCUUGAGCCGUGGCUUUCGGAGCUAACGCGUUAAGUAGACCGCCUGGGGAGUACGGUCGCAAGAUUAAAACUCAAAUGAAUUGACGGGGGCCCGCACAAGCGGUGGAGCAUGUGGUUUAAUUCGAUGCAACGCGAAGAACCUUACCUACUCUUGACAUCCAGAGAACUUUCCAGAGAUGGAUUGGUGCCUUCGGGAACUCUGAGACAGGUGCUGCAUGGCUGUCGUCAGCUCGUGUUGUGAAAUGUUGGGUUAAGUCCCGCAACGAGCGCAACCCUUAUCCUUGUUUGCCAGCGAGUAAUGUCGGGAACUCCAAGGAGACUGCCGGUGAUAAACCGGAGGAAGGUGGGGACGACGUCAAGUCAUCAUGGCCCUUACGAGUAGGGCUACACACGUGCUACAAUGGCGCAUACAGAGGGCAGCCAACUUGCGAAAGUGAGCGAAUCCCAAAAAGUGCGUCGUAGUCCGGAUUGGAGUCUGCAA
rnacentral:rRNA from 1 species